GAUGAAGAACGUAGCAAAAUGCGAUAAGUAGUGUGAAUUGCAGAAUUCAGUGAAUCAUCGAAUCUUUGAACGCACAUUGCGCCCCUCGGUAUUCCGUGGGGCAUGCCUGUUCGAGCGUCAUUUAACCCCUCAAGCCUAGCUUGGUAUUGGGUGCUUGUCCCGCCUCUCGCGCGGCGACUCACCUCAAAGUCAUUGGCAGCCCGCAUCUCGCCGGCCGUGAGCGCAGCACAGACGCGCUCUUGGCAACGACGGAUCGGCUCUCCAAAAGCUUAUUUCAACCACUGACCUCGGAUCAGGUAGGGAUACCCGCUGAACUUAAGCAUAUCAAUAAGCGGAGGA
rnacentral:misc_RNA from 1 species